GGGGAUGCAUUGCAUCGACAGGAAAAGUUCUUUAAAAACUGCAAGCAGACGCUGAAUUAUAGUCGUAAAACAUAAUUCAAAAAUUAAAUGCUGGAAGAAAUUCUAGCGAUCGACUUGCUUACGCAUACGCAUAAGUUUGUUAGAUCUGUUCAUUAUAUUCUCCUUAGGCGGGAUAUUCUGAGCAUAAACUUAGCCUAAGAAACUGUAAGGAAAUUGGUUAGAGCUUUACUGUAUUUAUAACCUUAACUUUAUUUAUGAAUGUUUGUAUUCAAAUAAAUAAAGCGAUUAAAAAAAUUACAAACUAAGCUUGUAGAUGUUUUUAAAUUUCAUUCUUGGACUCGGGAUCACUUCCCGACAUCUCCACAC
rnacentral:tmRNA from 1 species